UUUUUUUUUUGAGUUGGCAACGCUGCUUACACUCACACGUUCACUGGCAAUCUGGACGCAACUUCUGCUGAAAGCUAGCAUACAUAAUUCAAGAAAUAGGAAUGAAGGAGGACCUGCAGCACCUCCACCUGCAGUAUCCAGGCAUGAAGUUCAUCUUCUCUGGCAUCACCCAGAGACACAGGUGGAAGGCUUGCAGGUUUUUUUUUCUUUUUCCACUUUGCAUUACAGACAACCAACAGACUGUCACACUAUGCUCACUGUAAUUGUAAAGGCAGCUUUUAUUUCUUUACCCAGGCAUUUGGACUUGACUGAACAGUGCAGCACAAGUGCUUUAAGCUUUAUAUGUUAAGCUAUAUUUUUAUAUUGUGGUGAUUGUGGUCAACCAUUUCUACUGUAAUUAACAAUGUGGCACUAGUGAUUCAACUACCUCUUUUUAUUAUGCAGACUUCACUUGUGACAGUGAAGUGUGCCUUUACCUUGACCCACAGCAGUGAUUUAUGUGUGGAAUUUACACUGGAUUGUAAAAGGUGAACUACAUUAUUUAAUUCAUCAAUUUAAACAUAAUGUUAAAAAUAUUGCCAGUGCUGUUUGUGGUUUAUGUAGUUUUUGAAGUUAAUGCCCAUUUCAAUGUGAAAUAAAGGUCUUUCUAAAGCUA